GUGCCUUGGGCUAUUUAUACCCCCUCCACCUGCCUAUUUGAUGUUGCUGGAGUGUGCAGGAAUCCAUUGGAGAUCAAGACUCAUCAAGAAUUCAUUCAAGCCACCAAAAAUACUUAAGUGAUUUAUCAAAGGCUUAGCACAAGCUUAGAAGAGUGAUUAAUGCUAGAAUAGGCCUAGAGAAAGAGAGAGUGCAAGGUGUGCUUACAUUGUGAUCGGUUCUAGGAGUGAACUACAAUUGU
rnacentral:lncRNA from 1 species